rnacentral:RNase_P_RNA from 1 species
GCAGUGGGACGGUCUGUCGCUUGGCACGCUGUAAUGGCCGCCAAGAGGAAAGUCCGGGCAACGCAGAGCAUCACAUUUCCUAACGGGAAGCCAUGGGUGACUGUGGGGUAAGGUGACAGAAAAAAACCGCCCUGAAGUCUUUUGACUCCAGAGCAAGGGUGAAAAGGUGAGGUAAGAGCUCACCGGACGCGAUGGCGACAUCGCGUGCCGCAUCUCCUGUGAGUUGCAAGAUCAAGUAUACCGACUUAUGAGGGCUGCUCGUCCUCGUCGGAGGGUAGAUCGCUACUUCGACUGCCUACACGGCAAUCGAUAUACCAGCACAGCAAUGUUCUGGACAGAUAAAUGACAGACGGCAGGCUUGCCUGCUACAUAACCCGGCUUACAGUCCCACUGCUUUU